rnacentral:rRNA from 1 species
UACGUAGGGGCUAGCGUUGCUCGGAAUCACUGGGCGUAAAGGGUGCGUAGGCGGGUCUUUAAGUCAGGGUGAAAUCCUGGAGCUCAACUCCAGAACUGCCUUCGAUACUGGAGAGCUUGAGUCCGGGAGAGGUGAGUGGAACUGCGAGUGUAGAGGUGAAAUUCGUAGAUAUUCGCAAGAACACCAGUGGCGAAGGCGGACUCACUGGCCCGGUACUGACGCUGAGGUGCGAAAGCGUGGGAG